GACGAACGCUGACGGUGUGCUUUAGGCAUGCAAGUCGAACGAGAAAGCCCUUCGGGGUGAGUAGAGUGGCGAACGGGUGAGUAACACGUGGGCAACCUGCCCCUCGCAGGGGGAUAACCG
rnacentral:rRNA from 1 species